GAUUGAACGCUGGCGGCAUGCUUUACACAUGCAAGUCGAACGGCAGCACGGGCUUCGGCCUGGUGGCGAGUGGCGAACGGGUGAGUAAUAUAUCGGAACGUACCCAGAAGUGGGGGAUAACGUAGCGAAAGUUACGCUAAUACCGCAUACGAUCUAUGGAUGAAAGCAGGGGACCGCAAGGCCUUGUGCUCCUGGAGCGGCCGAUAUCUGAUUAGCUAGUUGGUGAGGUAAAGGCUCACCAAGGCGACGAUCAGUAGCUGGUCUGAGAGGACGACCAGCCACACUGGAACUGAGACACGGUCCAGACUCCUACGGGAGGCAGCAGUGGGGAAUUUUGGACAAUGGGCGCAAGCCUGAUCCAGCAAUGCCGCGUGAGUGAAGAAGGCCUUCGGGUUGUAAAGCUCUUUUGUCAGGGAAGAAACGGUAGAGGCUAAUAUCCUUUGCUAAUGACGGUACCUGAAGAAUAAGCACCGGCUAACUACGUG
rnacentral:rRNA from 1 species